rnacentral:tRNA from 1 species
GCUCCCGUGGCGGAAUUGGUAUACGCGCAUGGCUUAGAACCAUGUCCCGCAAGGGUUAGAGGUUCGAGUCCUCUCGGGAGCACCA